rnacentral:tRNA from 1 species
CCUCUCGUAGCUCAGUGGUUAAAGAGUUGGUGCGUAAAGCCAAAGACCCCGGGUUCAAUUCCCGCCGAGGGUG